CUCUUCCGAUCUAUGAGAGACCCCUGGUCUAGCUUACUAAAACACCCCCACCCUACCUUCAACUUUGUAAACGCCUCACUCGCAGAGCCUGUACUCCCACUAGUUAACAAACAGGAUUUCUGCGGUUGGACAUCUGGACCCCGGGGGAGCUGUACAGGUUGCUACAUAGAUAACCGCUUUCCUCUCGCUUCUGUAAUCUUGCUUACGCGCCCAACCAUAGUAAUCUUGCUUACGCGCCCAACCCUAACCGGAAGGUCCCUAGCCGCUUCGCAGCCCGGGCUCCAAGUUGCAUCAGCCAAAAGAAACUUCAUUUCCCAAGCUUCCCCGGGACGAAACUACCCACAACCCUAACCAUCACCGAGCAGAGAGCCUACCACCAGCCUGUAUGCAAAUAAGACUCAAAAUAGCAUAAAAGACCUGUGACCCCGUUUAUCGGGGCUCUCCCGCUUUCUAACACUGGGGAGCCCUGGUGCACCAGUAAAGACUCUCUGCCGACGUCGGAGUGCCGUGUGGUUCUUUGCGCCAACUCUCAUUUCAUAGGGCCUAGGAGCUUGGCUCCUAACAUCACAACGCAGAAAACCCAGUGGGUCCUGAGUCCACUGCGGGAAAUCCCCGCUGCCAAUGGCCACUGCGACGGGUUGAGCCACCAGGCUGGCGAAAGGCUGCUCGACUCCCUUCCCUUCCUGGGAGGCCAUGUCCAACGGCAGUGACAGAGACGCCAGGAAGUGGAGAACAGAAAAGAAUCUGAUUUAAAUGAAAUCGACUUAGAUCGCAAUUCACGUCCCUUCGACAAGUUGUGCUUAGCUGUGAUCCGUCAAGCGGGGGAAAACGUACGUGUGCUGUGGGAUGUCACCUGGGUACCCAUCUUUCGUAAUUCCAUGGAAGUCAGUUUCAAGUUUUGGGAGGAUGCUCUGGAUCCAUGUUAAAAGACAGACGGAUCUGGGUAUGUUUGGUUACAUCGGAAAACCAGAUGGUCAUUUAGUUGUACUGUUUUGUUCUCAAGAAUACUUGAGGCAUGGUCUUGGGUCCCAGAGGUACCACUGUACCUUCAGCCCCUGGAGGGGUCCUAGACGCUGAAGGAAUUCAAGGCAGAAAUGUGCCUUUAAACGUUCGUGCCUUUAAAUGUGCGUUUAAAAGGGCCUUGGUCAAAUACGAGGCAGAACCUAGCCUGGUCCUACUGUGAGGGCAGAAAUAAGGCAAAUGAGUGAACAGGGCAAAAAAGUAGUUUUGGCCUCAACUCGUGGGCUGAACGUAUAAAAUGACUUGCACUUGGCCAUUUUGGCAAUUCCACGUGGUUCCACUUCAUAAAACAGAACCGUCUAAUACCCAGAAAUGCCCGACUAUAGAAUGGAAUGCUAAGAGAGAUAGUGAGCUCCCCAUCACGGCAUGGAUUUUAGUAGAGGUUUGAGAUCAGGGGCAUUGUAGAGACGAUUCCUGAAUCGGGGGGGGAAAUCGUCUCCCAACUGUGGAAACUGAUUCAUCCUAACGAUGGUUUCCACGUCGUUGAUUCUCAAAAUAUUUGAAUGCAAGUCCUUUUCGUUACUGAGAAGUCCUCGUGAAACAGAUAAAAGGCAGUUAAAACCAAAAUGAGGCUUAAAUAAUAUUUUCAACGUACCCAUUUUUAUUCGUCCCGCCAGUACACACAGGAAAUUCACUCUGCUCUGUACUGGCUGAAAACGUCGACCUCAGGAGCACAGGCAUCGUGGAAAGCGCUGAGGAUCCAGGACCCCAAGUCCCUGGGUCCACACAACCCUGGGGUGCCACUCCCUACCCAAACGGCUUAAAGCAAGACCCUAAUUAAACCUCACUCUCCUAACCUGCAA